GUGGGGAAUUUUGGACAAUGGGCGCAAGCCUGAUCCAGCAAUGCCGCGUGCAGGAAGAAGGCCUUCGGGUUGUAAACUGCUUUUGUACGGAACGAAACGGUCCUGGCUAAUAUCCGGGGCUAAUGACGGUACCGUAAGAAUAAGCACCGGCUAACUACGUGCCAGCAGCCGCGGUAAUACGUAGGGUGCGAGCGUUAAUCGGAAUUACUGGGCGUAAAGCGUGCGCAGGCGGUGCUGUAAGACAGGCGUGAAAUCCCCGGGCUCAACCUGGGAAUUGCGCUUGUGACUGCAGCGCUGGAGUGCGGCAGAGGGGGAUGGAAUUCCGCGUGUAGCAGUGAAAUGCGUAGAUAUGCGGAGGAACACCGAUGGCGAAGGCAAUCCCCUGGGCCUGCACUGACGCUCAUGCACGAAAGCGUGGGGAGCAAACAGGAUUAGAUACCCCAGUAGUCC
rnacentral:rRNA from 1 species